UACGUAGGGUGCGAGCGUUGUCCGGAAUUAUUGGGCGUAAAGAGCUUGUAGGCGGUCUGUCGCGUCUGCUGUGAAAAUCCGGGGCUCAACCCCGGACUUGCAGUGGGUACGGGCAGACUAGAGUGUGGUAGGGGAGACUGGAAUUCCUGGGUGUAGCGGUGAAAUGCGCAGAUAUCAGGAGGAACACCGAUGGCGAAGGCAGGUCUCUGGGCCACUACUGACGCUGAGAAGCGGAAAGCAUGGGGAGCGAACAGG
rnacentral:rRNA from 1 species